rnacentral:rRNA from 1 species
GACGAACGCUGGCGGCGUGCCUAAUACAUGCAAGUGGAACGCAUUGGUAACACCGGACUUGCUCCAGUGUUACUAAUGAGUCGCGAACGGGUGAGUAACGCGUAGGUAACCUGCCUGAUAGCGGGGGAUAACUAUUGGAAACGAUAGCUAAUACCGCAUAAGAGGAGUUAACUCAUGUUAACUGUUUAAAAGAAGCAACGGCUUCACUAUCAGAUGGACCUGCGUUGUAUUAGCUAGUAGGUAGGGUAACGGCCUACCUAGGCAACGAUACAUAGCCGACCUGAGAGGGUGAACGGCCACACUGGGACUGAGACACGGCCCAGACUCCUACGGGAGGCAGCAGUAGGGAA